GGAUUAGAUACCCUGGUAGUCCACGCCCUAAACGAUGAGAACUAGAUGUUAGAAGGAAUUACCUUUUGGUGUCGCAGCUAACGCGAUAAGUUCUCCGCCUGGGGAGUACGGCCGCAAGGUUAAAACUCAAAUGAAUUGACGGGGGCCCGCACAAGCGGUGGAGCAUGUGGUUUAAUUCGAUGCAACGCGAAGAACCUUACCUGGCCUUGACAUUCUUGGAAUCUUGCAGAAAUGUGGGAGUGCCCUCGGGAACCGAGAAACAGGUGCUGCAUGGCUGUCGUCAGCUCGUGCCG
rnacentral:rRNA from 1 species